rnacentral:rRNA from 1 species
AUACGGAGGAUCCGAGCGUUAUCCGGAUUUAUUGGGUUUAAAGGGUGCGUAGGUGGAUUGUUAAGUCAGUUGUGAAAGUUUGCGGCUCAACCGUAAAAUUGCAGUUGAAACUGGCAGUCUUGAGUACAGUAGAGGUGGGCGGAAUUCGUGGUGUAGAGGUGAAAUGCUUAGAUAUCACGAAGAACUCCGAUUGCGAAGGCAGCUCACUAGACUGUUACUGACACUGAUGCUCGAAAGUGUUGGUAUCAAACAGGAUUAGAUACCCUGGUAGUCCACACAGUAAACGAUGAAUACUCGCUGUUUGCGAUAUACAGUAAGCGGCCAAGCGAAAGCAUUAAGUAUUCCACCUGGGGAGUACGCCGGCAACGGUGAAACUCAAAGGAAUUGACGGGG